GACGAACGCUGGCGGCGUGCCUAAUACAUGCAAGUCGAACGCAGUGGGGACGGGUGAGUAACACGUGGGUAACCUCCCAUCAGAGGGGAUAACACUUGGAAACAGGUGCUAAACCGCUACUGAUGGAUGGACCCGCGGUGCAUUAGCUAGUUGGUGAGGUAACGGCUCACCAAGGCCACGAUGCAUAGCCGGCCGGAGAGGGGGAUCGGGCAAAAUGGGACGGAGACACGGGCCAGACCCCUACGGGAGGAAGCAGUGGGGAAUAUUUCGCAAUGGGCGAAAGUCUGACCCAGCCACGCCGGGGGGGGGAAGAAGGUUUUCGGGUCGGAAAACUCUGUUGUUAGAGAAGCGGUAUCUAACCAGAAAGCCACGGCUAACUACGUGCCAGCCGCCGCGGUAAUUC
rnacentral:rRNA from 1 species